AAAGACUUAGGAUAAGAGACCAAGAGCCUUCAAAGCCCUAAGUAGAAGUUAAAAUCUUCUAGUCUUUG
rnacentral:tRNA from 1 species